UUCAAUUUUUAGCAUGCAGCGUGAGGUUUUCGCCAGCUGGAAGAAAGCGAACUAAGGAACGAAUUUCACCUUGAAAAUGAUGGAUAUGGACUCAAAAUAUGAUGACAGCUGAAGACUUCAUCUCAUUGGAAGUUAGGAAUAGUUGUAGGAAAUAUUGUACACAGCCUGAUGCUGGUCAUGUAGCCUACAAUGUAGGAAUCUAGACCAUAAAUGGUACUGACCAAGAUACCAGUUGCAACUUUACGAAGCUAAGUCAGCUGUGAGAUACUGAUAUCUUGUUCCGGUGUGCUGGAACGUCCAAGAGUUUUGAAGGGUUCAGGAGAGCUCCAGUGUAUCCGAACAAGCAAAUAAUGGUAGACAUGUACACUUCCGGUUUCCAGGCUGUCAGGCCAUAGGGUUGACUGAGAGACCACCUGCAUUUAAUUUCAACAAGUCAGUACUGUAGAUGGAUUCUGAUCCCUGGACUUGGAAUGCCUUGCAAGGUAAGAGUUUUGUAGCAAAUCCUUUCCCAUCUUUUCAUGACUGAACUUUCUUGAUCAUUCUUGUCUACAAUGAGUUGACACUCUUGGGUGUUGAAUUUGAGCCCAGUGGACACUACAGAUGGAAUCUUUGUGUGAAGAUUUGGCACAAGUCAAAAUGCAGCAAACUACGUAAUGCCUGGCAAAGA